rnacentral:rRNA from 1 species
UACGUAGGGGGCGAGCGUUGUCCGGAUUUAUUGGGCGUAAAGAGCGUGUAGGCGGCCAGGUAGGUCUGCUGUGAAAACUCGAGGCUCAACCUCGAGACGUCGGCGGAAACCAUCUGGCUAGAGUCCGGAAGAGGGGAGCAGAAUUCCCAGUGUAGCGGUGAAAUGCGUAGAUAUUGGGAGGAAUACCGGUGGCGAAGGCGGCUCCCUGGACCGGUACUGACGCUGAGGCGCGAAAGCGUGGGUAGCAAACAGG